GCCCCUUCAUUAACAGCAUAUAUUAAAAUAGAAAUGAUACAGAAAAGAUCAGCAUGGUCCCUGUACUAGAUGACAUACAAAUUUAUGAAGUGCCCCCCCCCAAAAAAAAUUUUA
ensembl:snRNA U6 U6 spliceosomal RNA